UUGUAACUUACAAACCAGAUAUCAAGGUUGAAGAUAACUCAAACCAUAAUUUACAAUUUGAAAAUUGUAAAUUUAGGGGAUGCUGGAGAUAUGGCUAACUAGUUAGGAACACUGAAUGCCCUUCCCAAAGCCUCAGGUUUUACAUUUACAGCACCCACUUGGUAGCUCGCAACUGACUGUGACUCCAGUUCCAGAGGAUCUGGUGCCAUUUUUAGCCUCUGAGGGCAUUGCACACACAUGGCACACAGAUAUACAUACACACAGACAAAACAUCCAUACACUUAAAAUAAAUGAAAUAAAAUAAAAUAAGAUAAAAUAAUAUAAAGUUGUACACUUAGUAAAGUCAAACUCAUCUUAUGGGUAAUAAUCCUUAGAAAGGUUUCCUUAACCAGGAUGUCUGAUCUUUUGACAGUGUGAUAUUUAGUUUUUGUCAUUUUGACACAAACUAGAGUCACCUGGGGAGACAGAGCCUCAGCUGAAGAAAUGCCUCCUUCAGAUUGGCCUGUAGGUAUUCCUGUGGGGCAUUUUCUGGAUUAAUGGUUAAUAGAGUAGGCUUCAGUCCAUUGUGGGUGGUGCCACCCAUAGACAGGAAGUUCAAGGAAAUUAGCUGAGCAAAAGCCAUAAGCAAGACAGUAAGCAGUUCCCUUCAUGGCUCCUGCCUUUAUCCCUGCUUGAGUUCCUGUCCUGACUUCCCUCAAUGAUCAGGACAUGUAAUGUAAGCCAAAUAAACCCUUUCCUUCCCAGGUUGCUUUGGUCAGUGUUUUAUACCAGCAACAGAAAGCAAACUAGGAAAGACAUUGACACGAUAUUGUCAUCACAUUCACAGCUGUGCUGGGAUGCAUGCAACCCACACUGGUCACACUGGCUAGACAAUAAUAUAUCACUCAAUUAUUAUUUAUGCUCAUUUGUAACUCUGGUACUUUAAAACAACCAGUACUGUAUUAGCCUAUCUUUUCCAUAAAUGUUUACUUGGAGUGACUAUUUUAUUCUUCUAUAAAAACGUUUAGUACUAAAAGUUGUUAAAUAGCAUAUUAUCAUGUUAAUGUAAUGCAUCCCUACUUUACAUUCAGCACCAGAAGUGGAAGUGCUUUCAUCACUGAAAUCUUACAGUACUCAUUCCUGUUGGAUGAGGAUAACUGCAUGGGUAGGAACCAAGUUCCAGUAUUUUCCAAGAGCAGUAUGCACUGUGUGUGUGUGUGUUUCUUUUUAAAAUAUUAAGUUAUUUAUUGCCUUGGACCAGCCACCAGACCAGGAUCAAUUACUGGUAGCAAUGGGUGGUGUUCCAGUUGCAGGGAAGUGGUGGAUGAGGGGCUAAAGUAGCUUACUUUUGGUAAUUUCUUUCUUUCUUUAACCCUUUGCUAUUCUAAAGCCAAAAGUCUCUGGCUUCUGGUAAUUAUCUCCUGUUAAUAGCAGCAGGGGAUUAAGAGAAGAAGAUUUAUUAGUUUCUGUCUGGCUUAAGGAUCUUAAGGAUCAACAAAUGGUUCUGGCUCAACUGGCGGUUAGUAUGUAGAAGAAUGCAAAUCGAUCCAUUUUUAUCUCCUUGUACGAAGCUCAAGUCCUAGUGGAUCAAGGAAUGCCACAUAAAACCAGAUACACUGAAACUAAUAGCAGAGAAAGUUGGGAAGAGCCUCGAAUAUAUGGGCACAGGGGAAAAUUCCUGAGCAGAACAGCAAUAGCUUAUGCUCUAUGGUCAAGAAUUGACAUAUGGGAUCUCAUAAAAUUGCAAAGCUUCUGUAAGGCAAAGGACACUGUCAAUAGGACAAAUUGGCAACCAUUAGAUUUGGAAAAGAUCUUUACCAAUCCUGCAUCUGAUAGAGGGCUAAUAUCUAAUAUAUACAAAGAACUAAAGAAGUUAGACUCCAGAAAACCAAAUAACCCUAUUAAAAAUGGGGUACAGAGCUAAACAAAGAAUUCUCAACUGAAGAAUACUGAAUACUGAGAAGCACCUAAAAAAAUCUUCAACAUACUUCGCCAUCAGGGAAAUGCAAAUCAAAACAACCCUGGGAUUCCAUCUCACACCAGUCAGAAUGGCUAAGAUCAAAAAUUCAGUUGACAGCAGAUGCUGGCGAGGUUUUGGAGAAAGAACACUCCUUUAUUGUUGGUGUGAUUGCAAGCUGGUACAACCACUCUGAAAAUCAGUCUGGCAGUUCCUCAGAAAAUUGGACAUAGGAUCCAGCAAUAUCACUCCUGGGCAUAUACCCAGAAGAUGCUCCAACAUGUAAUAAGGACACAUGCUCCACUAUGUUCAUAACUGAACCAGAGUUCUCUGCAAGAGGAACCAGUGCCCUUAACCACUGAGAUCUCUCUCCAGCUCCUUGAACAGGAUGUGUUUUCAUCCUUUCUCAGGAGAGAUCACCUAACUCUCCCCUUCCCUCAAUGAGCUGUUACAUGCUAUUUUCUCUAUUUGUAUUUUAGCCCUGCUAGGCUCUAGUGGGUGAAGUGGCUUGCUUUAAAGCUUAUCUCUCUCUUUCAUUCCGAGGCUGGAGAGUCUAUGAAGGAUAAGCAGCUCCAGGAUUACAGUCUUUCACAGCAUUGGCACAUCCUGUUCUCCACCUACCCACUCACCCAACCACCAAUCUACCCACCAACCCACACACUCAGCCAUUUUACCAGCCCACAUUUAAUCUUGCCUUCCUGUCCCACAACACCAUACCCUGGGUUAGUGUAAUGUUCCUUGGCAACAUGAGAGCUAAAGUUGCUUAACAUUUAGUUUCUUUUGCUUUGUUCAUGUCACCAUUUUGCCCAAUUCAGCUUCUUGGGCAAGGGUUUGAUUUCUAAGAUACUUGGCAGAACUGCUUUGCUCCUUCCACUGUUCUGUGGGUUCUGGAGAUCAAACUCAGGUUUCCAGACCUGGAGAGCAGCGCCUUUUGACCCACUGAACCAGCUCACUAGCCCUGAGGCCUAACUAAAAUAUUUACCUAAGACAGAAGCAGAAAAGCUGCUCUAAGUUCUCUGGGAUUCAGAGUCUAAAUUUUCUCUAGGCCCCCUUCGCAUACACACACGUGUGCAAGUGUAAGACAGGACCCUAGGCUGGCCUCAAACUCCAGAUCUUCUUACCUUAGCCACCCAAAUGCUGGGAUGACAGGCAUGUAGAAUCACUCCCAGACCUUAAGACUUUUAUACCAGAGAAGUUUAAUUUUUACUUUUUUACUUUCUUUUCUUUCUUUUUUGGAUACAUUUUAAAACUAGGAUAGUUAGGCCCAGCUACUUAAGUGGAGAGCUAAGAUCACUAAAUGUGAGACCAGCAUGGACAAUGUAAAGGAGACUCCAGCUCAGAGAGAAAACAAAAAAGCUGGGUCUCUCUCUCUCUCUCUCUCUCUCUCUCUCUCUCUCUCUCUCUCUGUCUGUCUGUCUGUCUGUCUCUCUGUCUCUGUCUCUCUGUCUCUCUCUUAGAAUCUAUAAUCUUAGCUCACAGGAGGUUGAGACAGGAAGUCAGCCAUGAGUUUCCGGACCCAUCCCUCAAAAACAAACCAACGGGGCUGAAGAGAUGGCUCCAGAGGACCCAGAUUUGAUUCACAGCUCUGGUAAGGUGGCUAAAAACCAUCUGCAAUCCCAGGGAUCCAAUAUCCUCUGGUUUCUCUGGACAUAGGCCUGUAUGUGGGUCAGACAUACAUGCAGGCAAAAACUUACACAUGAUAAUAAUAAUAAUAAUAAUAGUAAUAAUAAUAACAACUAAUCCAAGCAAACCCAAGUGUUAAAAUAUAGCAGCAUAGAGCCAUACCAUGACCAAAUGGUAUUUAUUCUAGGGAUGUAUAGAUAUACUUUUGUUUUUUUGAGAGAACUUCAAAUUGAAUUCAAGGUCUAGGGAAGUGCUUAUCCACUGAGUUAUAGCCCCAGCCCGAGAAAGUGAUUAUAUGAAAACAUUU
rnacentral:lncRNA from 1 species